UCCGAGAGAUAAGUCGAGGGCUACGACCUUGAGAGGGGAUGAAAGGGAGGCACUGGGAGGGCUUUUUGAAUCAGCUUUGGUGGCAGGGAUGUGCAAGAAGUAUCCACUUAGGCCACCUAAAGGGAAAGUGUUUCUUUUGAUCACAGUGCUGAGGUGCUCAGGGCAGAGCAGUCCUGGUGUGUGUUGUGUCACUUGUCUAUUGUGCAUUCUGUGUGUUUGGGUAUUUCGUGUCACAUGUCUUUUUUACCUUAGCCCUUUGAGGGCCCUAUCGGAAAGCCCGGCCUCAUUUUUGGCAUCCGCGAUCUCCGCAUUCCUUGGACGGGCACCGGUGCAAUAGGACUCUUGAUUCUGGAGGUCAGACAGGCAUCUGAAUUGCAUCUCGCUUUAGAAGCAUCCAGUCAGAUGUCUUUUAAGGUCUUGCUCUGAGCUGUGUCGACAGCCACACACCGCAAUGAUCCCUUAUAGCCGAUUAGGACCGAUAAGAAUGCAAAGCUAGCUAGAGCCUUCGGACCAUAAAAUUGUUGGACAUUCAUCUUUGCAGUUCUCUUAAGAAAUCAUUCUGUUAGCAUCUUGUUCCUGCAGGGUUCUCUGAGCCUCAUCAGCUCUGAGCGGUCCGUCUUACCUAGGUCAUCUCGUUCCGCAUUCUCCCGGCGCUCGCCGGCAUUCUUCUCACCGAGAGCUCUCUCUCCCUGUCGAGUCCCCUUGUUUGUCACGUUCUGUCCUGUGUCACGGGUGUCUGCACGUAUUUGUCCCGGAACUGCUCUGCCCUGCUGCAUAGCCUGUAACGGGACAAGUCCCAGGAGUUGAAAUUUCUGAUGCGGGGUGUAGUUGGGCUCUAGAUUGUAUUUGUAGAUUGACAUGUUUGGUGCUGUUAAGUUAUCCUGCAGCCAUUUGACAUUACUCCUACCUUUCUUUCAGAUGCAGGCGGAUUAAAUCUGUGGCAGAGCCCCCAAUCCCGGGUCAAGGGGUUUUCCCUGAGAAGGAAGUCCAGGCAGAUAGCUGCAGCCAAGGCCAAGUGUGCCAGGCCAUCCACUCGGUGUACGCUAAGCCCAUGUCAUCAGGUGGCGGACGGACCGGGUUUCCUGCACUCGUGAGCCCUCCGGAAGUAUGAUGGGACCCCGUGAUGAAGCCCACACAUCUUGUAUUUCAAGGUCCCAUCUGGGUAGCUCACGGGAACGGCCGAGGAGCUGCGGUGAGUCGGGGAGGUAGGGAGGAGGAGAGGGGGUCCACUCCAGUUUCAGCUGUGCCCAGUCACCUUGUCUCCACUUAACCUAGGCGUACCUCGUGACGGCAGCGUCGGCCUCGGAGCACGGCCGAAGCGUGCGGCCCAAACGCCAGGGCCCUCUUAGGAGAAGACGAAGAGAUAAGAGCCUGGUGACAGCUGGAACUUCCCAGACGGGGAAGUGGCCUUCUUUUGCACUUGACAGGGAUUUGCACACCCAGAAGUGUGCAAGAUAAGUUGAGGGCUAUGACCCACUGAGGGGAGGGAAGCGGGGUGCUGGCUUGGGACUGCCUGGAAGGGAUUUUGGAGUCUGCUUUGGAGAUGGGGAUGUCUAAGAAGUGUCUCGUUAGGCCACCUAAAGGGAAAGUGUCUCUUUUGAUCUCAGUGCUGAGGUGCGCAGGGCAGAGCAGUUCCGGUGUGUGUCGUGUCACUUGUCUCUUGUGCAUUCUGUGUUGUUUGGGUCUGUCACGUCGCUUGUCUUUUUUUUACCUUAGCUGUCUGAGGGUCAUCUUGGCAUCUGUGAUCUUUGCGUUCCUCGGACCAGCCCCAACGCCACAGGCCUUUUGACUCGGGAGUCCCAACAGGCAUCGCAGUCGUAUCUGUCUUUAGAAGCAUCCGGUCAGAUGUCUUUUAAGGUCUCGUUCCGAGCGGUAGCGACAGCCGCGCACGCCAAUGAUCCAUUAUAGCGGCUUAGGACUUGUGAGAAUGCCAAGCUAGGUAGCUCAUUCUUACCGUAGGCUUUUCAGGCAUCCGCUUGUGCAGUUCUCGGAAGACAUCGUUUUCUUAGCAUCUUCUUCCUGCAGGGUUCUUUGAGCCUCAUCAGCUCCGAGCCGUCCGUCUCACCUAGGUCAUCUCGUUCCGCAAUCUCUCUGUCCUCGCGGGCAUUUUUCUCGCCAAGAGAUUUUUCUCCUCGUGGCGUCCCCUCGUUUGUCAUGUCCUGUCCUGUGUCACGGGUGUCUGCACAUAUUUGUCCCGGAGCUGCUCUGUCCUGCUGCAUAGCCUGGUGUAAUUGCACAAGUCCUGGAGACCUGCAAUUGGGAAUGGGGGAUGUAGUUGUAUUCUAGAUGGUAUUCCUAGAUUCACACAGGAUCCUUGGACCUGUUAAGUUAUCCUACAGUUGUUUGAAUUUUCUCCUAACUUUCUUUCAGAUGCAGACAUUUAAGAUCUGUGGCAGAGCGCCCCUCCUGGGUCAGGGGGUUUUCCCUGAGAAGGAAGUCCAGGCAGAUAGCUGCAGUCAAGGCCAAGUGUGUCAGGCAGUCCUCUUGCGAGAUGUCUCUGAUCCCAGAUGUCUGAGGCCAGGUGUCAUUGCUGCCCUAGGCGUGUGAAGGAACAGAGUCAAGCGGGUAUCCUCCUGGCAGCCUGUUGAGUCGCGUCAAGAUUUCAGGUACCGUGAGGAGGCGCAUAGCUGAAGUUUGGAAACGGCAGCACCGAAGUGGAUGUAGAGAACGUGUCGCCGUCCACGUCCGGCUGACGAUGGAUUUUGUCCGGUCGUCUUGCAAAAGCUAAUUGUCGGGGCCAGUAGGUGGGAGAAGGGGAAAAACCUUUACUAUCACAGGAGACAAUUUGAUGUUAGCUUAGAGGAGAGGCCCAUAGUGGGACGGGCCCCUUGGAAGCAGAGGGAGAGGGUUUCUCCUCAGCCUCACCAGAGUCUUCGCCGGGCAGGGCAGUUCCGAUCCAUCUUCGCGUCCUCGUGAGGUUUGCGUCGGCGGCCUUCUUCGACUCUCGAUGUCGUCGUGGAUCUUUUCACCCGAGGAGCCCGCCUUCACGUCCAGAGCUAUAGCCACGGUCACGCCGUAGUCAUCGCUUUCUUGUCUAGGCCUACUGAGCUUCUUAGGCUUCCUCUUAAGUCCUUUGGCACUAACAUCUUGAAAGGAGUUAAAUUUCAUCAUCACAUGCUAUUGCCCUAGGGCUUUCUUUCCUUUGGCAUCAUCGGCCUAUGACUCAUCUUGGACUAGCAAUCUUGGGUCCAUAAGGUGGAACUGCCAGGCAGUUUCCACUCGUGUCCGUGUUAUGUCGUCCGUGUCAUGUCGUCCGUGUCCGUGUUAUGUCGUCCGUGUCCAUUGAUUUCUGCGUCAUAUGCCUUUGUUACAUCUCGAGGCUUUAUCGGCAUUGUUCUCUGCCGUAUCGGCCAUAUUUUACUCGUGUACCUUCCUGGAUAUCGCUUAUUCCAGCAUCGUUACAUUUUUACUUAUUGAGACGGGAAGAAGUACAGGAGACGUUCUCAUUCAUCUUCCUUCUUACCUUUGGUAGCGCCUUCUCUUCCCGUGCUAUUCUCUUGGACUUCUAGAGGGAGCGUAUUAGACCCUCAUCACCUGACCGCAGUAGUUCCGUAGCUUGCGCCUUCUCAAAGGGUAUAGGGCUCAACAAUUAAUCUUCCGGAGAGUUACGUCAAGUCCUCACUUAUAUUGUAUCUAC